CACCUACUUCUAACAACAUUCAGAGUGUUUGGCAUGGGGUGACUCAUCCAAGAUCAAAUGUAAUAUGGAUGGAAGUGAUGAGAUCACUAUAUUUAGUUGAAUCAUGAUAAUCUUCGUGACAGUAAUCUCAAAUCACCCAUAUUUCUCAAAUCACCUUCCAACCCAGUGAUAAAAUAUUCAUUCUUGAGGUUGGAAAUCCAACAUCACUCUCGAAUAAUGAUCUUAGGC
rnacentral:lncRNA from 1 species